GAGCUUUUAUGUCCUCAAAGAUGCAGCUCACAGCUUUGGAGCAAAUCAAACAUUCUUGAGUUUGCUCAAGAAGAGAAUUUGUAUCCAUAACAAAAUUGGAUAACAUUUCAACCAACUUCUGCUUUCAUAUUUACAACAAUCUGAAAAUAAAAUCAAAUAAUUGAAAAAAUUGAAGAGAAGAUAAAUGUUUGAUAGUUCAUGCGAUUGAAACAUGUUAGUGUUUGGAAUGAAUUGUGGUUUCGAUUAAGCAGACAACCAUAACAGAAAUAAGCCAUUAGGAUUAGACGAUGGAGAUUUAUCCCUAUUUGACACUAUUACAACAAAGGUGUUUUUAUACUAGUACAAAAGUAUCUAUAGACACGUAAUUUUUUACCCUCCCUGAGUUUUAACCUAUUUUUCGACAUUAAAUAUUUUUAUUUUCGUCCAAUAUUUAUUUUAACUUUUAUUUCAUUUUUAAUAAUUUUUAAUCGAAAAUAAAUAAAAUAAAUAAAGUUACAUUUUUGAGAUAUUUUUAUUUUUAUUUUUAUUUUAAAAAAAUAUGAAAAAAUAUUAUUUUAGGUUAUUUAUACACUUUUAUUAUAUUUUUCUUAAAUAUAAAAAUUAAUUAGCAAAUAUUCUUGUAUUAUUAUUAUUAUUAUUAUUAUUAUUAUUAUUAUUUAUUAUUUAUUUUAUAUAUUUUAUAUAUUUUUUUUAAAUCUUAUCCUAAACUACCCCAACCUCUCCACAUUUUUCUCAACACCCCACAUGAUAUACAACCUCCCCCUCCCACAUCUCUAUAUAACACAACACACACGGACACAUUUGGAGAAAAAAAAGAGAACACCAUUUGUGGAAAAAAACUGACAUGGAGAAAAAAAAGAGAACACCAUUUGUGGAAAAAAACAGACAGAAAGUUAUGAGCCAAAUCAUGAAUAAAGUUGUUUAAAUAAUUUCGUACAUUAUUUAGUGUGUGUUGAUUAAUUCUGUGCAUCUUUAUUCUUCAUGUGAAUUGUAUGGUUAAGUCACCAGGUACAUAGAUCUUAUACGUAGAUUUGGGGUUGGACAUACUCUUUUUGGUUGAGUAUAAGUUGUUAGAUUCUAUUAUAUGAGACAGUCCCUAUAUAUAUAUAUAAUAUAAUAUAUAUAUAUAAUAUAUAUAUAUAUAUAUAUAUUAUGGGAAUUGUAUAUAUUCAUGCCCAUUUUCGUUUCACUAUCCAAAAAAGGUGGUUUCAACCUUAAAUGAAAAAUGGUAGUAGUAGUAGUAGGGUUAGGGCUUCAAUAAACAAUAGUACUACUAUCUGUUACUCUACACCCAUACCCCAUAGUCAUAUUGAUAACUAUAAUGACUAUUACUACGUAGAUUCGUACUACUUACUAUUUUUCUAUAUCCAGUGGUAGUGAAUUAAGUGAUAUUUUUUGUAAAGGGUCAUUGUUACCUUGUAUUUUCAGUGAUUAAAUUUGGAAAGAAAGAAGGGAGUAGAAACAAGAAGUGAAAGGAAGAAUCCACAAGGAGCGAAUUUGAGAUUUGGUUUUCGUUCGAGGUCCAAACGUAGUUUCAAUCGAUAUUUGAUUUAUUUGUUUUUUUCAAAAGAUUGCAAGCGAACUGAAAAUAGUUGAGGUUCAUAUUUAUCUUCUAUUUCGAUAAAUUGGAGAAAUCAUUGGCUUCAUAUUAAAGAUCCAUUUCUUAAGGUUAUUUGACUUAUUUCAUGUUUAUUAAUGUGAUAUUAUCAUAAAGUUGCUACUCUUUUAUAAUGUAUAAUCUUCUUGUUAGUUUAUUAAUUUUUUCUUAUUCUCGUGGGACGUGGCACAACAAUUAUGAUAAGCAUAUUAUUUUUUAUGAACUUUCACGCUUUAGUAAUCACUAAUGGCGAUAAAAGUUAUUCAUUAUAAUAAGUUUUUUAAAAAUAAAUAAUAAAAAAAAAUAAAGUAUGGUUUAGUAACACCAAAAUAUGGGUUUUGAAAUCUUUUCAAGUUCUACUAGGUGAACUGUUGUCAUUGAAAACAAGAGACGAACGAAUGCCUUUUAAUGGUAGAUAAGUUUUAGGCACGUUUAAUAUAUUUGUCUUGAUUAAGAAUGCGAAAUACGCAUCUUUUUAAGACAUUAAAAAAUAAUUCGAGGAUGCAAUAAUGCACCUCGAUAAAGAACGUCCUAAAAAUUAGUUAACUUUCACUAGCUUAAUACAAGAGGUAUAGACAACAGACAUUAAAGAUGAGCGAUUUAAAUCCUGCAAACAUAAUUUAUCCAAAAUAGUUAAAGCUAAGUAUAAGUUGAUAAAAGAGACCGUGCUUAAACCACGGGACUCGAGGGGUGCCUCACACCUUCCCCUCGGUCAACAGAAUUUCUUACCUGGUCUUCUAUUUCCGCAGAUCAAUAAAGAGUCAUUUUCUUUUGAUUGGGGAUUCAAUAAGGUGACUUGGAACACCAUAACUCAAUUUCAAGUGGCGACUUUGUAAUUAAAAUAAUCCCUAUUCAAUAACGUCACUUUAAUUUAAAAAAACCUUCAACUCAAUCCUUGGACGAAAAAGGGGUGCGACAGUAUCAAGAGUAGAUGAAUAUACCAUCGUUGUCGGAAGCCAUGUGAAUUCCUCUACUGGAUGCAUUAAGAAGUAUGAAGGUAAAUCUAUGACUGCACAAAAUAUGCUACGCUAUUUGUUUAAAGCUCUUAUAGGAACCAGAUAGUCAUCAACGACGCUAACCAUGAAAAAAUAAAAAAUUUCAUACAUUUAAUUAUGGAUUUUGUCUUUUAACUGCUUAAGUUUGUAGUGAAUGUGAAAUAGAUUACAAAUGUUGAGGCAUGAGAUUUCACUACAAGAAAAAGUGUAUAUAAUCUAACAAACUAAACCAUGAAAUAGCAAAGUAAAGUGCAAUAUCAUCUUGUACUUGGAAGUUGAGAAGCCCUAAUUAAUCAAGUUAGAAACGAAGAAAGACAGUAGUCGCUUGCAUUUUUGCUUACUAUUUUAGGCAUAUAAGGUAAGAUUUAACUCUUCUCAAAUUGAACGGUUAAAGUUUUCACACAAAACACAAAAUUUCUUCAACUAAAAAAUAUAUAAAUACACUUUAUCCAUUACAGUAAGAUUACCAACCUAGAAAGUCAUUUUUCAAUAUUCUUGCAUGUGUUGCUUGUAUCUUUCCUUGUUAUAUCAAAGUAUAUCAGUGUAGCAUUGAUGUUGCUCUCUUUAAGCGCAAUUAAUUUUUUAUUGAGAUAGUGUAGUUAGAAUAUGAGGAAAUUAGAGAAGAUAAAGAUAAUAUCAACUUAGAACAUUCUAUAAGUCUUAAGUUGAUUUUGGAUUUCUAAUCAUUGCAAUCUUUUUUUUACAGCAUAUUACUCUCAUCAAUGAGCGUACAUACACCAAGAAAAAAAAUGUUGAAGAUACUUGCAGUUAGAUGGAAGUCAUGAGAGAACCUCAAGAAAAUCACCUUGAAGUUGAAUCAACCGAGCAUGAAAGUCCACUUAUAGUGUUUGAUCGGUCAAACUAAAGCUAACACACUACUGGCCAAAAGAUAAAAUUUCAAAACUUAAAAAGCCAACAAUUUGGUAUAGUGUCAAGGCUAGACAUCAGAUAAUGUUUCAUUUUUUCUUUUGAAGAAUGGUAUAAAGUGGAGGUGUAUUGGAUCCACUGAUGAAUAGAGAAGAAGCAGUAGUGUGGGAAGACAAUUUUGAUUUUGUUUUCAAAAAUAUCAAACUAAGAAGACGUGCGUGAGUGGGAGUUUUGAGAUUUG
rnacentral:lncRNA from 1 species